CAAUUACAUGAUAAAAAUAUAAAUAAAAAAGAUAUUAUUAAUAUUUAGUCAUCUUGGAUGUUAGAAAUAGUGGCCAAUUUUAGUGCCAAUAUUUAAGAUCAGUUAAUGUCACCUCACCAACGUCAUCAAACCAAGUACCCUCUGUACCAAUGGGACAACUAGGAUCAUUUUCCAACCCUACAUGGAACAAGCCUAGUAGAUAUAUACCGGUGGAGACAUCCAAUAGGCAUGAUGGGGGUGCAAGAAGACCACUUUGUUGUUUCCGUUCCAGAUAGAUUGAUCAUUAUGCCAGUGAAUAUUCCAAUUCCAAAGCCAGUGAUGAUUAUGC
rnacentral:lncRNA from 1 species